AUGAACGCUGGCGGCGUGCCUAAUACAUGCAAGUCGAGCGAACGGACGAGAAGCUUGCUUCUCUGAUGUUAGCGGCGGACGGGUGAGUAACACGUGGAUAACCUACCUAUAAGACUGGGAUAACUUCGGGAAACCGGAGCUAAUACCGGAUGAUAUUUUGAACCGCAUGGUUCAAAAGUGAAAGACGGUCUUGCUGUCACUUAUAGAUGGAACCGCGCUGCAUUAGCUAGUUGGUAAGGUAACGGCUUACCAAGGCAACGAUGCAUAGCCGACCUGAGAGGGUGAUCGGCCACACUGGAACUGAGACACGGUCCAGACUCCUACGGGAGGCAGCAGUAGGGAAUCUUCCGCAAUGGGCGAAAGCCUGACGGAGCAACGCCGCGUGAGUGAUGAAGGUCUUCGGAUCGUAAAACUCUGUUAUUAGGGAAGAACAUAUGUGUAAGUAACUGUGCACAUCUUGACGGUACCUAAUCAGAAAGCCACGGCUAACUACGUG
rnacentral:rRNA from 1 species